CAGCCGCCGCGGUAAUUCGGAGGGUGCGAGCGUUAAUCGGAAUGACUGGGCGUAAAGCGUGCGUAGGUGGUAACGUUAGUCAGCCGUGAAAGCCCCGGGCUUAACCUGGGAACUGCACUUGUGACUGCACGGCUGGAGUACGGCAGAGGGGGAUGGAAUUCCGCGUGUAGCAGUGAAAUGCGUAGAUAUGCGGAGGAACACCGAUGGCGAAGGCAGUCCCCUGGGCCUGUACUGACGCUCAUGCACGAAAGCGUGGGGAGCAAACAGGAUUAGAUACCCUGGUAGUCCACGCCCUAAACGAUGUCAACUGGUUGUUGGGAAGGUUCCUUCUCAGUAACGUAGCUAACGCGUGAAGUUGACCGCCUGGGGAGUACGGCCGCAAGGUUGAAACUUAAAGGAAUUGACGG
rnacentral:rRNA from 1 species